GUGGGGAAUUUUGGACAAUGGGGGCAACCCUGAUCCAGCCAUGCCGCGUGAGUGAAGAAGGCCUUCGGGUUGUAAAGCUCUUUCGGAGGGGAAGAAACGGUUACGGCCAAUACCCGUGACUAAUGACGGUACCCUAAGAAGAAGCACCGGCUAACUACGUGCCAGCAGCCGCGGUAAUACGUAGGGUGCGAGCGUUAAUCGGAAUUACUGGGCGUAAAGCGUGCGCAGGCGGUUUGACAAGUCAGAUGUGAAAGCCCCGGGCUUAACCUGGGAACUGCGUUUGAAACUGUCGGACUAGAGUGUGGCAGAGGGGGGUAGAAUUCCACGUGUAGCAGUGAAAUGCGUAGAUAUGUGGAGGAAUACCGAUGGCGAAGGCAGCCCCCUGGGUCAACACUGACGCUCAUGCACGAAAGCGUGGGGAGCAAACAGGAUUAGAAACCCGUGUAGUCC
rnacentral:rRNA from 1 species